rnacentral:rRNA from 1 species
CCUACGGGAGGCAGCAGUAGGGAAUCUUCCACAAUGAGCGAAAGCCUGAUGGAGCACCGCCGCGUGGGUGAAGAAGGUCUUCGGAUCGUAACACCCUGUUGUUAGAGAAGAAAGUGCGUGAGAGUAACUGUUCACGUUUCGACGGUAUAUAAACAGAAAGCCACGGCUAACUACGUUCCAGCAGCCGCGGUAAUACGUAGGUGGCAAGCGUUAUCCGGAUUUAUUGGGCGUAAAGGGAACGCAGGCGGUCUGUUAAGUCUGAUGUGAAAGCCUUCGGCUUAACCGGAGUAGUGCAUUGGAAACGGGGAGACUUGAGUGCAGAAGAGGAGAGUGGAACACCAUGUGUAGCGGUGAAAUGCGUAGAUAUAUGGAAGAACACCAGUGGCGAAAGCGGCUCUCUGGUCUGUAACUGACGCUGAGGUUCGAAAGCGUGGGUAGCAAACAGGAUUAGAUACCCCUGUAGUC